rnacentral:rRNA from 1 species
CCUACGGUGGGCUGCAGUGGGGAAUAUUGGACAAUGGGCGAAAGCCUGAUCCAGCCAUGCCGCGUGUGUGAAGAAGGCCUUCGGGUUGUAAAGCACUUUCAGUGGGGAAGAAAGCCUUGGGGCUAAUACCCUCGAGGAAGGACAUCACCCACAGAAGAAGCACCGGCUAACUCCGUGCCAGCAGCCGCGGUAAUACGGAGGGUGCGAGCGUUAAUCGGAAUUACUGGGCGUAAAGCGCGCGUAGGCGGUCUGAUAAGCCGGUUGUGAAAGCCCCGGGCUCAACCUGGGAACGGCAUCCGGAACUGUCAGGCUAGAGUGCAGGAGAGGAAGGUAGAAUUCCCGGUGUAGCGGUGAAAUGCGUAGAGAUCGGGAGGAAUACCAGUGGCGAAGGCGGCCUUCUGGACUGACACUGACGCUGAGGUGCGAAAGCGUGGGUAGCAAACAGGAUUAGUACCCUUGUAGUC